rnacentral:rRNA from 1 species
AUUGAACGCUGGCGGCAGGCCUAACACAUGCAAGUCGCGCGGAGCGCCGGACGGGUGAGAAUUGCCUAGGAAUCGGACCGGUAGUGGGGGAUAACGUCGGGAAACGGGCGCGAAUACCGCAUACUAUCAGAUGAGCUUAGGGCGGAUGAGCUGGUUGGAGGGGUAAAGGCCUACCAAGGCGACGAUCAGUAACUGUUCUGAGAGGAGGAUCAGUCACACAGGAACUGAGAUACGGGCCAGACUCCUACGGGAGGCAGCAGUGGGGAAUAUUGGACAAGGGUCGAAAGCCUGAUUGAGCCAUGCGGCGGUUGUGAAGAAGGGCUUCGGAUUGUAAAGCACUUUAGGUAGGGAAGCGGUACGUACAGAAUAAGGAACGGAUAAAUUCGUGCCAGCAGCCGCGGUAAUAC